rnacentral:tRNA from 1 species
GCCCGGGUGGCUCAGUGGUUGAGCACCUGCCUUCAGCCCAGGUUGUGACCCCGGAGACCCGGGAUCGAGUCCCACAUCGGGCU